rnacentral:misc_RNA from 1 species
CACUACCUAUAGACAUUUCGGAAUGCAAUUUUUUUUUUUGAUCGUAUCAAUUCAGAAUCUGUAUAAAAAUAUAGGUUCUGCCUGACAGAAAAUUUCACUCUAUUUUUUUUAAAUAUGACAACUAGCGCACCCCUUUGACUAAUUUUCGCUAACGUUUCUUGCUUGUACGAAUUUCUAACAAAUUCGGUUUUCCCAAUGCGAGAGAAGUUCUCUGUUGCUCUUUCUAUAAAAAAAAAGUAUUUUUGACUAUCAGCUGUAGAUUAUGACCCGAAUGACAGCGAUAAAAGUUCCAAGGGGAACAACGAUGGCUGGACAAUCAACGUCGCAAUCACAAACAGAGACGAUACUGGAGGGGGAUGUGGCCGACAACGCAUCGCAGGAUGUUCCAACCGUCAGAUUACGUCUACGUAAACCGAGGUCGAGUAAAAAAGUUCAAUGGACCCAAGGGACGGUGGACAACGAGCAUAUGAACAAAAAGAAAUCAAAAUGUUGCUGUAUCUACGAAAAGCCGAAAAAUUUCGGCGAGAGUAGUUCGGACGACAGUGACGACGAGUGCAAGCAUUGUCAUGGUCACAAAGACGCCCACAAAAAAGUUUUGCAACCACCUUUGGUGACCGAUUUGAAUUGAGGCAGUCUGAGCAUCCGAAGUCCAACGUCGUGAGAUCUUCCUCUUUUUCUAUAUAUAUGCAAAUCGUUCUCGCUCUUCACCUCUUUCUCUCUUUGUCUAUGAAGCGACGAAGAAAAAAGAUAAUCAAUGAUUCCUGCACGAGAUAAUCCUCGGCAACCAAGGUUUUUAUUAAUUAUAGUCGAACAGAAAAAAAGAAAUCCACAAACUGGAGUGUAGUUUAAAUAUCCCAUCAAGGCCCAAGAUUUUAGGGAGUCUUCAAAAGUUCUCUCCCUAAGGGUGAUCGAUCAUUAUUAUUCGUCGUUCAUUCAAUUUUAACUUGUAACGUUUUAAAAACUUUCAAGUUCAAAAACUCAUUACUAUUACCAUAUAUAAUGAAUGUAUAUACCUAAACAUACUGUAUGAAUAUAUACACAUAUGGAUUAUGCGGAGGGGCGCUGAAACACCUAAAUAUUGUGUAACAAUACCGUCAGAUACAGUAUCUAGAUUCGCUCGUAUUUAUGGUAAGGAUACACUUACUUUCAUUUUUCCGUCCAAACGAUAGAGAGAAGAAAAAAUGAAUGAUAAAAUCUCACAUGAUUCCUACUUUAUAAUUAUCUCACAGUAAAUAUGCAUAAAAGAUAGUUUUUAAUUUAGAAGUACGUUAUAGAAGCGUUCAUUCAUACGCGAGUGAUUUUUUCCCCUUCAUAUUGAAUUUUCCAAUGUGCUCAGAUAUCGGACGAAUGCUAUUUCCAAUUUUUGACGUGUGUUAUUAGUCGUUGAGAGGAACAUCAACAAACAAUUUUCUGUGGAAAUACUCGAGUACGUGUGGGUAUGUUCGUGUGUGUGUGUGUGUGUAUUUAGAUCGCGAGUGGCCGGCUCGCUCGCAUUCGUUGCCAUAAUUAUAAUAUAUUUACAAAAUAUCAUUUUCAAAAAAAAAGGAACAAUUAUUAAAAAUGGUAUGUAAAAAAUAUAAUCGUAGCCUUAAUAAGAAAAUGUCUUAUAAAGGAUUAACACUCAUUGCAUUACAUUAGCAAUUAUUGUUGAAUUGCGAUAUUUGCGUUGACGAAUAUUUGAGUAAAGUUGAAAUUUUAUUCUUCCUCUCA